AUUGAACGCUGGCGGCAGGCUUAACACAUGCAAGUCGAACGCCCCGCAAGGGGAGUGGCAGACGGGUGAGUAACGCGUGGGAAUCUACCCAGUUCUACGGAACAACUGAGGGAAACUUCAGCUAAUACCGUAUACGCCCUACGGGGGAAAGAUUUAUCGGAAUUGGAUGAGCCCGCGUUGGAUUAGCUAGUUGGUGGGGUAAUGGCCUACCAAGGCGACGAUCCAUAGCUGGUCUGAGAGGAUGAUCAGCCACACUGGGACUGAGACACGGCCCAGACUCCUACGGGAGGCAGCAGUGGGGAAUAUUGGACAAUGGGCGAAAGCCUGAUCCAGCCAUGCCGCGUGAGUGAUGAAGGCCUUAGGGUUGUAAAGCUCUUUCAGUGGGGACGAUAAUGACGGUACCCACAGAAGAAGCCCCGGCUAACUUCGUGCCAGCAGCCGCGGUAAUAC
rnacentral:rRNA from 1 species